ACGAACGCUGGCGGCAUGCCUAACACAUGCAAGUCGAACGAGACCUUCGGGUCUAGUGGCGCACGGGUGCGUAACGCGUGGGAACCUGCCCUUAGGUUCGGAAUAACUCCCCGAAAGGGGUGCUAAUACCGGAUAAUGUCUUCGGACCAAAGAUUUAUCGCCUUUGGAUGGGCCCGCGUUGGAUUAGCUAGUUGGUAGGGUAAAAGCCUACCAAGGCGACGAUCCAUAGCUGGUCUGAGAGGAUGAUCAGCCACGCUGGGACUGAGACACGGCCCAGACUCCUACGGGAGGCAGCAGUGGGGAAUAUUGGACAAUGGGCGAAAGCCUGAUCCAGCAAUGCCGCGUGAGUGAUGAAGGCCUUAGGGUUGUAAAGCUCUUUUACCCGGGAUGAUAAUGACAGUACCGGGAGAAUAAGCUCCGGCUAACUCCGUG
rnacentral:rRNA from 1 species